ensembl:lncRNA
CAGUUCCCUGUCCCUGAAAUGCUUUUUGCCAGUUAGCCAUGCAGCCUGCUCACUUACCCACUGGGAGUCUUUGCUUAUACCUCACCUUUUCGGUCUAAAGCCCCCCUUGACCACCUUAUUAAGAAAUGCACCCAUUGCAUCAUCCUAACCACUGACUUCUCUCUUCCACCCUAUUCUGUGCACUAUUUGUUGUAUCUGUCAUCUUUCUGUGUCCCUGUGCUAGAAUAAAAUUCUGUGAAGGCAAGGGUUUUGUUGCCAUUCUUCAUAGAUGCCUCCCAAGCCCUUGGAUGUUACUUCUUUUAUGGUACCUUCUUCUGGUACCUGCUGCAUACCUACACCAUGCACUGUCUGGACACCAGGAAUAAGGGUGCUUGUUCCUGCCCCAAAGGACCCUAGACCUGUCAUUUUCAGAUCCUUCUUGCCCAGAGCUGGAGGGUAAGUUUUGUUCCUGAUGCUAAGGGAAAAAUACCUUUGCAGAUUCCUAGGUGGGGGAAAGAUAAGACAAGGUCGUCACCUAGGGCAGCAGGAUGUAGGGCUGAGUUUGGGGAGGAAGGUGAUUUUGUCUCCUAGGUCAGCCUUGAGGGUGGCUGCGACCCUCCUGGGCGCUGUCCCCUAGAAGCCCUUACAACACAGCCUCUCACUGGCCCCAUUGGUAUUCAGGCCACCUUACGCUCUGAAUACACAUCUCCCUGCCAUCCUCCCUUACACAGCAGCUCUUGCUUGUGGCAUGAGAGUGGCGGAAAGGCGAUAAAAAUAGUGUUUAGUUACCCGCGCUCUGCUUAUUUUGUACUUUCAAGCAGUAACACGUCCUCUGACGUUGUCGGGCUGGCCAGCAAAGCCCAUCAUUUCUCCCUCACGUGGAGCAGCCUAGAAACAGCCUGGGAGAUGCCUGGUCCUCAGACAGGCAUCGCCACCUGUCCGCGGUGCCUGGAAGUUGGCCACUGGCUUUUCCAGAAACCUCCCUUUCCCUUCCCCACCCUGCUUUGUCAGAAACCCCUAAGCAGAGUCAGGACCAAAUUUUGAAGCUGUGCUGAGCGGGGGACCCCUGCAGAGGAAUGACUGCUUAGCCUUGUAACCGCUCCUGCAUUCUCAGCACAGUUGCCCAGGGCGUUCCUAAUGCCACAGGCACACCUCAUUUUACAGGUGAGGACAGUGAGGCCCAGAGUGGUUAAGCAACUUGUUCAAGAUUGCACAACCAUGGAGCAGUAGGUGGAGCUGGGAUCUGGACCCGUUCUUCUCUGACCCCAGAGCUUGUACUCGGAGUAUGACCCCCUCCCGUCUUCUGCUCUGUGUUGUUUAGAUGCAUUUCCCCAAGAUGCGUCCUGGGUUUCUUGCCUGCAGCUGCUCUGCAGUGACCUUUCUGAAGAGUAAACACUGGGCACUAGUGAUGACUCUUAAGAGGGGGAUUCUGGCCGGGUGUGGGGGCUCACGCCUGUAACCCCAGCACUUUGGGAGUCCGAGACGGGAGGAUCACUUGAGCUCAGGAGUUCAAGACCAGCUUGGGCAACGUGGUAAGACCUUGUCUCCACCAAAACUACAAUUAGCUGGGUGUGGUAAUGGGCGCCUAUAAUUCCAGCUACUCAGGAGGCUGAGACAGGAGAAUCGCUUGAAGCCAAGAGGCGGAGGUUGCAGUGAGCCAGGAUUGUGUCACUGCACUACCGAAGGAGACUCAGUCUCAUUAAAAAAAAAAAAAAAAAAA